GAAGGAGAAAGAGGACUGGGAAGACUAGUACCUUGUUAGCUCUUCGCUCAUACACAGAUGAGAUUAUUGCUGAAAAAGAAGAAUCUGCCAAUAUUGCGAAGACUGGUAAUAAAGGCAAAGGUGUUCUUCGCAGGGAAAAACCAACUGCUCCUCCUUCAAAGAAAAUAAAAGUUCGUUCUUCCUCUCCUUAAAAUAUUCCUUCUCAUGAAAACUCCGAGAAUGAUGAGGAUAAUGAUGACCUUGCUGCAAAUGAAGAUUCUCCAUCUGAA